UCCCUGGUGGUUCAGUGGUUAAGACUGCACUCCUAAUGCAGGGGGUUCAGGUUCAAUUCCUGGUCAGGGAA
rnacentral:tRNA from 1 species